UCGACGGUAACAGGAAGCACUUGCUGCUUCGCUGACGAGUGGCGGACGGGUGAGUAAUGUCUGGGAAACUGCCUGAUGGAGGGGGAUAACUACUGGAAACGGUAGCUAAUACCGCAUAACGUCGCAAGACCAAAGAGGGGGACCUUCGGGCCUCUUGCCAUCGGAUGUGCCCAGAUGGGAUUAGCUAGUAGGUGGGGUAACGGCUCACCUAGGCGACGAUCCCUAGCUGGUCUGAGAGGAUGACCAGCCACACUGGAACUGAGACACGGUCCAGACUCCUACGGGAGGCAGCAGUGGGGAAUAUUGCACAAUGGGCGCAAGCCUGAUGCAGCCAUGCCGCGUGUAUGAAGAAGGCCUUCGGGUUGUAAAGUACUUUCAGCGGGGAGGAAGGCGAUAAGGUUAAUAACCUUGUCGAUUGACGUUACCCGCAGAAGAAGCACCGGCUAACUCCGUGCCAGCAGCCGCGGUAAUACGGAGGGUGCAAGCGUUAAUCGGAAUUACUGGGCGUAAAGCGCACGCAGGCGGUCUGUCAAGUCGGAUGUGAAAUCCCCGGGCUCAACCUGGGAACUGCAUUCGAAACUGGCAGGCUAGAGUCUUGUAGAGGGGGGUAGAAUUCCAGGUGUAGCGGUGAAAUGCGUAGAGAUCUGGAGGAAUACCGGUGGCGAAGGCGGCCCCCUGGACAAAGACUGACGCUCAGGUGCGAAAGCGUGGGGAGCAAACAGGAUUAGAUUCCCUGGUAGUCCACGCCGUAAACGAUGUCCACUUGGGAAGGUUGUGCCCCUUGGAGGCGUGGCUUUCCGGGAGCUAA
rnacentral:rRNA from 1 species